UCGGCUGUGGUGUAAUUGGCAACACUGGAGAUUUUGGUUCUCCUAUUUCAGGUUCGAGUCCUGACAGCCGAGCCA
rnacentral:tRNA from 1 species